AAGUCAGGGUCGGCAGCCCUGACAGCAGACAUGCAGCCCUCAACUCCUCCCAGAGUCUCAUCAUUUCGCCAUGUCACGUACUGCAGGCAGGAAAAGGUUAUAAAGUUUUAAAUAUAAAUAGUAUGCACAUAUUUGAUUUGUUUUGCUCUGUGUGUGACUGAGCAAGAGAAUACCUGGGUUUCUACAAAACUUCCCCGACAGGAAUGGACUCGAGCAAACUCAAACCUCUGUUCAAGGGCCAACUCUGUCGAAGAUUAACAGUGCAUAGGGAGAAAACGCGGAGUGGAUUUCUCACCGAUAAUGGGGUUGAUUGUGAUGUGUCAGUUAGCUUUAAUACUUUUUCUCACCGAUAAUGGGGUUGAUUGUGAUGUGUCAGUUAGCUUUAAUACUUUGUGCUGUAUUAAGUAAUAUCAGAAGGUGUUUAAGAACGACUGCAUUGUUUUAUUGCCUUUUCUGCAUACAUCCAACAACCUAUGUACUUCAGCUACAUGAAGCAUACAGAUCAUGUGUCAACAUAAGGUUUUAAAAAUUAGGAUUCAUUUUCUUUACAUAUGAUACAUUUUUGCACACAAUGUUAAUAAAUAUCAAUAAAAAUCUGUCAAACUUAUCACACACACCUAAAACAACAAUCCUUAAAACUGUACUGUGUUGGAGCCUAUUCACAGCUCAAACACGAUUUCUCUCUUUGUUCCUCUACUGUGAAACAAUUAGAAACCCACCACAGAUUUGUGUGUUUGGCAGGAAGGCUAGCAGAGUAAAUACCAAACAGAUAGACAUGCUCUUCAGACAGGGUGCAAGAAGUAGAGCGCCCCUGCCUCUAAACAUCUACAGACUGCAGUCAGAAGACCUGUAGUAAAAAGGAUUU